rnacentral:rRNA from 1 species
GAUGAACGCUAGCGAUAGGCCUAACACAUGCAAGUCGAGGGGCAGCACAUGACGUAGCAAUACAGAUGGUGGCGACCGGCGCACGGGUGAGUAACACGUAUGCAACCUACCUUCCACAGGAGGAUAACCCGUUGAAAGACGGGCUAAUACUCCAUAACACAGGGGUCCCGCAUGGGAAUAUUUGUUAAAGAUUUUUCGGUAGAAGAUGGGCAUGCGUUCCAUUAGC